rnacentral:snoRNA from 1 species
CUGCAGCCAAUUAAGCCUACUGAGUUCCUUUCCUCCUUGGGGCCUGGUAUGAAUAGCUGCAAACAGCAGCUUCCUUGGUAGUGUAUGCAGCCUGUUUCUUGUAUGGGUUGCUCUAGGGGACCUUGGAGACAGGC